GUAAAUUUGGUGAGUGCCUUGUUUCUUUGUCCUAGGCUGUGUAAGGACAGUAUUUCAGAGAUGGCUGUUUCUUAAGAUCCCAUAACGAGAGUUUAUCUUGAGUUGAUGCUACUUAUAAAGACUGAUACAGCUAACUGAUAAGUAAUUUUUGAAAGAAAGUGGUCUGUGAAACUUCCGUAGGCCCAGCAUCACUUCCUUCAGUAUCCAUCAUGGAUUUAACUGUAUUAACAGCUCUGAGGAGACCUGCCUGUGGAUUCAGAUGCCUUCAGCCUCCAGCCUCAAAAUCCAACUCUACACGAAGAUUUACCAACACAGACAGGGAGCUUUCCUUCAGAGGCCAUCCAAUUUCACAUUUUUUUUCCUUAUAGCAUCCUACUCCAUCCCUGCUGACCCCACUAGCCUUGACUAUCAUCGCUCAGAACCGGUCUCUCAGGGUGCACACUUCAGUGACUGAGAAUUUGGUAAAGUGGAGUCCCUGGGGUGCCUAAGAGGGAAUCUGUACUCGGAUUUAACCAGUGGCCACAGGGUGCUUCACCCUCCUAAGGCUAACACUUCAACCCAGUGUUCUUCUACCAGGACUAGCCCAAGGCCAAAGUAUGAUGGUGAAAACACUUUUCAGGACCCCUAAUUCCCUUCUCUGUUCUAAUGUCCUUCUCCCUCCCCAUCUCAAGGCCUAUCUUGGGAAUGGAAGGGACCUCAGCAGAGCUGUCGACCCUCCCCUGCUCCGAGAUUAUCACCUCCAUCCUCAGCCCCGGCCUGGCCAACCUGGUGACAGGUGGAGGUGACAUGGACAAAUAGUUUAGAGCUCUGUCUUCCACCAGGACAGAACAAGAGCAUGUGACCCGAGAGGCACUGGCCCCUGUUGAGGACCAGCCCACCACAACUGGACCUUGGGAAGCCCUACUUCUUCCGGGAUCAUUUUCCUCUCACUACCGCAGGGCUGCUAGGACACUUACACAAGGCUGUGGACAGCAAGGAGCCUCAGAUUUUACAACAGCAGGAUUCAGUGAUAAUGUUGAAUUUUAUCAAGUCUAGGAGCCAAGAGAAAAAUGGCAUGAAUAUCUUAGAAUGCCAGAAUGAUGUGAAAGCAUCUAAAAUAAAAGGCCCGGACCCCUAUUUGAGAGCAGACACCACAAUGGAUCCAGCAGCUGGGCUGCAUUUCUCCAGCUCACCUCCUGCCCCACCUCUCAAAGCAAUGUAUGAGAAAGAGUAAAGCCACACCUGAUAGCCAGGACUGGGCCUGGUACCCUCAGUUAUAUCUUGGUGUCCUUCUGCAGAACAUAAAUGUUUUUACAGACUAUGAACAUCAGACACAUCCACUCUGUGGCCAUGAUGGAUCAAGACACAAACAAGAUCACUUUAUGAUCCUGUUUAAACACAGAUAAAAUUGCAACAUUGUCUAAGCCACAAAAUGCCACUGCUCUCUCUCCUGACCAACAUCAGUGAGUGACUGCUGCUCCUUCACAAUUAUGGCACCAGCCUUGCUCAAGCUUCCCUCCUUACAGAUGAUUUAUUAAAAUACCAAUCAUAGAAUCACCCCGUUUCAAGGCAGCACAAAAUCCAGAGAAAAAGUCUUUUUCC